UUUUUUUUUUUUUUUUUUUUUAUGGCCAUACCAGUGGCCAAUGGAAGCUCCAAGGCUAGGGGUCAAAUCAGAGCUGCAGCAGCCAGCCUUAGCCACAGCCACAGCAAUUCCAGAUGCAAGCCUCCUUUGCAAACUGCACCACAGCUCACGGCAACUGCAGAUCCUUAACCCACCGAGCAAGGCCAGGGAUUGAACCUACAUCCUCAUUGAUACUAGUUGGGUUCAUUACAGCUGAGCCACAAUGGGAACUCCUUUUUUUUUUUUUUUUUUUUUUUUUUUUUUUACCACAAAUGCACUAUGUGGAAGUUCCUUGGGGUUAGGGGUUAGGGAUUGAAUCUGUGCCACUACAGCAACUUGAGCCACAGCAAUGACAAUGCUGGACUCUUAACCUGCUAAGCCACAAGGAACUCCUGAAUGCAAAUGUCUUGUCUGACUUGCAUGUUGCUAAAAUACCUUCAAGCUCACUUCAAAGAACUUCCCACAUGGAAUAUGAAUCUGUAUUCAAUGGGAUUCUUUCUGCUGUAAAUGAAGAAAAUACAAGUGAAAGUGAUUUGAUUAUAAGGGCAAUGAAUUGAUUUAUUACACUGGAAAUUCCAUGGAUAGAUCUAGUUGCAGAUACUUCAUAAUCCAAGAACUCAACCGGUAUUACCAUUUGCAAUUGCUCUUGAAAACACUCUUCCUGUUUCUUUUUCCCCUAUUUCUCUAACCUGCUUUCCUCUGUAAAUUGGUGGUGCUAUCUGUCAGUACAGAUGGACUUUUUCAUGACAACUCAUUCCCUAUAAUCUUCAUAUUAUCCCAGCUCCAAGAGAUAGAUUUCCAUGCCAGCUUUGGUCAGUGUAUGUCUACUAUCAAAAAUAUUUGUUGAUGCUUCUAUAUAAAUUUGUAGAUGAAAAAUUAAUCAAUAGUCAAUCUAAAGGAGAAAUCGAGAAUUUUAUUCAAACUAAUCUGCACAUUAUAACCCAGGAGACAAGUUUUUUUGCUUGUUUGUUUUUGGCUUUGCCUGAGGUAUUCAAAAGUUCCUGUGCCAGGGAUUGAACACACACCACAGCAGGGACCUGAGAAAUAGGUGUGACAAUACUGGAUCCUUAACCCACUUACCCACCAGGGAACACCUAUAAAUUGUUGGUGUUUUUUGUUUGUUUGUUUGUUUUUCAGGAGACAGUUUUUCAGAAAACUCUGAUGACUGUUUUGUUUGUCAAAAAUUGAAGGCACUUGAAAUUCCCUGGUGGCUCAGCAGUUUAGUGACCCAGCAUUUUCAUGGCUGUGGCAUGGGUUCAAUCCCUGCCCUGGGAACUUCUGCAUGCCAUGAGCACAGCCGAUAAAAAGCCAGGUACAGCACUAAGUGGUUUUGUGUCUGUUAUUAGAAAUUGAAGGCACAGUGAUAUACAUUUUUGCAAUGAAGGAUCAUACAUCAAAAUGUCACAUUCACCAAAAAUACAUAGUCUAGAGCUGCACAUACAAAGAGAAUAAAUGGUUACCUUGACCCCUUACAGAAUUAGAAGAAGAAAAAUUAAUCUUACAAGGAGUCACAAUGCUGGUGUCAAAAUGAGGCAGAAUAUUAACUCUGGUAGUCAGUGUAGGAGCAUGGGCUUCUUAGAUGCAUUCUUUGAUAAGGCCAUUGAUUAACAUUUGUGGCUUAAGGGCUCCAGGGAGUAACAUCCCCACAGGCCUUGUUUACUAUAGGGAGUGUACCUACGCCCAGAUGGACAUUAAUCUCUAACCCCCUGUGACUCAGUUCCCAGGAUGAAAAGGACAAAGAAACUAUGAGACUUAAUAGGACAUUUCCACCCCUAGGACCCUAUUGGACAAGGCCUGAAAUGGGUAACCAAAUAAGGCCAAUGGGAGAAAACCACAUCUCUCUGGACCCCAUGUUGGUACCCCCCAACUUUGAGGAAUAAAAACUUCUAUAGGACAAUAGAGAAAGGGGGGCUCUUCUCCCCCCUCCUGGUAACCCUGGGAGCUAUCUGCUCUUCUUCAAUAAAAACUUUGCUUGCUUGCUGCCUGUGUGUUCGUGGAGUUCGUUCUUCGACCACCCUGAACAAGAACCCAGAUUCCAGUAUCAUCUUUCUGGUAUCAUCUUUGGGGGUUUGUCUGGGAUCCGAUCCAACACAUCUGCGCUCACAAGGUAAGAGGCUGCAAACUUGCACUCUCUCCUUUUUCUCAGUUUCAUUUGCCUCUGAAAGGAGGGUGAAUGUGCGAAUGAGUGCGGAUGAGUUAGGAGGCAACUUUCCUUCCCAUUCCCUCUGCCCUGAAGUCUCCUCUCUCUAUGUACUAUAGCCUUUGUAAAAUAUUCAGGAAAUCACAGUUACUGUAUCCCUGAAGGUUAGCAAUUGUUAAAAGACAUGUAAGAAACAAAAUGUUGUUUUUGUGAAUUUUAAAGGGGGAUAAAGGGUUUAAAAUAACCUCUCGGGUUGGGGGAGGCACUGUGAUAACCUCUGAGUGCAUGUAUGAGUGAAUGCGCAGCCUAAUUCGCUUACACUUCAGGUUCAAGUUUGUGGCGCCAUGGCCUUAGCAGCUAUGGAGUCUGAGUGGGUCCUAACCUGCAGUUCCAAGGUGAUCGCACAUGGCUUAUGGCUGUAGCAGACUCUGAGGGGUCUCCUCCCUCCUUGUGAGUUCAAUCCAAGUUCAGGGGUUAUACAAAACAGCCAAUUGCUAAGAGGAACCUAAACUCCCUAGAGGAGGGCAGUCAAGCGGACAUCUGAAUGGCCACCUUUUAAGAAGGGGGGACCCUCCCUUAUUUUGUCUGGACACCAGCACAGGGUGGGCACACAGGGUGGGACCUAACCCAGAAAUCCAGGCAAAGACUUCAAAAGGAUUUUCUGGAGAUUAUACUGUAAGACUGACCUGACCUUUUGUUAUUUCCUUUGCUAUUACCUCAAAUGGAGCUGUGGGGGUACAAAGGAAACAGAUCUCUAGAUGUUAAGACCACCCUGAGUUGUUACCAUGCCUGUGGGGGAGAAGGCGUUAAUAACAAGUAUUCAUCCAAUUUAGGCCAAGGGUUUAGCCUCUGAGCCUGGGCGUAAUCAGUUUUGCUUUUUGCUAUUUACCUUCACCCUGGUUGGAGAAAUCUUGACAGCUGGUUUAUCCAAUUUACCUGUUAACUGUGGCCUAGAAACUUUCCUGGUAUUAACAGAGGGCAUGUCAGAGCCAGCAUCUUAGGAUUUGAAAACUCAGGACAGGGCCUGUAUGCCCGAGUUUUCUUCAUCUCUGUCCAGAGACAAGCAAUGGGUAGGGGUGGCAGGAAGAGAGGCUAUGCUGGUAAGGAGUGGGUAAUUCCGGUCAGCCUGAGGUCGGAUGGGACAUUUGACCACUAAUGUCCAGUUGCUCCAUAGGAGAGGGGACACCCUCACAUAGCUGAGAAAGGACAGUAGGUGCUGCAGGCUGGUCUUUUCUCUUUUUCAGAUGGGACCACAUCCUCAAGCCUGGUGCAUGGCUCAAUAGCAACACUUCUGACAUGUGCCUUAAAGAAUUGGAAAGAGUUUGACCCUGAGACUCUGAAAAAGAAACGUUUAAUUUUCUUUUGCACAAAAGCCUGGCCACUAUAUAACCUGUUGGAUGGAGAGCGAUGGCCAUCUGAAGCCUCUCUAGAUUGUGAUACUAUUCUCCAAUUAGACCUAUUUCGUAGACGAGAAGGAAAAUGGUCAGAGGUGCCUUAUGUUCAGAUCUUCUUUACAAUGAGGAAGACACUACACUGAAGAAGGCUCAUGGAUUUCCUCAGCUGGCAGUAUUAUGCCAGCUCCCUCAGGACCUAGGUGCCCACCGUAUCCUAGCCCAACUGGGCCAGACCCUCCAGAAGUUAAUCAGCCUUCUCCAAUACUGCCCAAGCCUCCUCUUCCCCCUCCAGUGCCGAAGUUAUAUCCCUCUACACUCCCUUUACAAGAAGUAGCAAAUGGAGAAUGGGGACCAAUACAGGUCCAUUUGCCUUUUUUGCUUCAGGACUUAAGAGAGAUAAAAACAGAUUUGGAAAAAUUUGCUGAUGACCCAGAUAGAUGUAUUGAGGUCUUUCAGGGUCUCACGAAGUCCUUUGAGUUUGCCUGGAAGGAUGUCAUGAGACAUUGACUAUGAGUGAAAAAAAAUCAAGUCUUAGAAAAUACUCAAAGCUGGGGAGGUGAAUGGUAUGCUGUAAAUGCCAGAGGCAGAUCAGGAGAGGAAUAAACAAGAUUCCUCACAGGGUGUCAGGCAGUUCCUAUGAGCAUCUUAAUUGGUCUGCUGAUGAGGGGGAUAAAGACAAUUGGCAUAGAAAUCAUUUUAUGACUUGUAUAGUUGAGGGAUUAAAAACCUCACUAGUAAAGCCCAUUAACUAUUCCAAACUAUUGGAGGUUUGUCAAGGGGAAUAAGAAAGUCCAUCGGCUUUCUCAGAAACACUCAGAGAGGCAUUGAGAAAACAUAGACCAAUGGACCCAGAAUCAAUGGAGGGCCAAAUAAUUCUUAAAGACAAAUUUAUAAUGCAAUCGGCAUGAGAUAAAUGGAGAAAGCUCCAAAAAUUGGCUUUUGGCCCUGAUCAGGACCUGGGGCAUCUCUUUAGAGUAGCAACUCAAGUACAUUAUAAUCAGGACCAGGAAGAAUGAAAGGAAAACAAGAGGAGAGACAGAGAAAAGGUUGAGAUUCUGGUUAUGGCACUACAGGGAGUCAACCUGGGAGCCUCCAAGGUGAGAGGACUAGGGCAGAGACCUAAACCCGGAGACGUUUCCUCUGUGGAAAAGAGGGACUCUUUAAAUGGGAAUGCCCCAAGACUCAGACCCCACCACCUAGGCCCUGUCCCAUAUAUCAGGAAGAUCACUGGAAGGACUGCCCCCAAAGAUGAAGGUCCCUGGGGUCAAUCCCUCAAGCCCAGGAUCCAGACUGACGGGACCCAGGGCUUUCCAUAAUGGCUCCUGUCCUCAUCAACACUCAGGAGCCCCGGGUAACUCUAAAUGUAGGAAGACAGCCUAUUGACUUCCUCCUGGAUACGGG
rnacentral:lncRNA from 1 species